GUCCUAGCUUCGGCUGGACAUAUACUAAAAUUGGAACGAUACAGAGAAGAUUAGCAUGGCCCCUGCGCGAUAGUUUUUAAGCAGAUUAAAUUUGUUAAUUUGUU
rnacentral:snRNA from 1 species